GUUGCUUCUUAUGGUGAACUCUCUUUUAAUUCAAAUAAGUGAUGUUCUAGUUUCCGAAGCAUAUAUAAAUAUUUAAUAGCCAGUUUUAAACAGCGUUGUGUAAUUUUAUUUAACUUACACUUUGCUACCUGUCUGCUGGUACAAACUUUGUUAUAUUAAUUCAUAUUUGAUUUUUUAGUUUAUGCAUUAUUAUGUAAUUUGUAAAUGUUUUAAUUUCUGAAUUCAGGAAAUUUGUUUUGUGAAGUUUUUUAAUCGUUAUGAAUCCAAAUGUAUUGUAACACGGAAUCAAAUUUGAGAAAAUAAGAUUCUAUUCGCUCUAGAUUUGAUUAUGUGAUUUCUUUAUGUUGUGGAUUACAUGCCUUUUAAUAAAACGUAGUAAACAAUCUUCACAUUUUGUGAAGUCUAACAAAGUCACUAUUGUUGUGAUGCCAUUUUUUUGAUGGCACGACUAUAAUAGAGUCUUUUAAUUUAAUUAGAUUGGGCUUUAUAUUUAA